GCGUGGGACGCUAAGAGGAUCACUGACGGAAAAAAGCCGCUCGGCUGGUAUAAAUAGAGACACCUGGAAACGCAAAGAGGACCAGGUAAAAGCAACGAAUGGGAGCGGGAUGUACCUGUCCGAGCGGGAAGUCAUUAUUUUCUGUCUCUGCAUCCGCCGGAAUCCUGCAUCGACUGCAGCCUUGAAUGGAGUCAGACUUGGGCACGCUGGGGGAUUAUGGGACCUCCGUGCCCGGCUGCUGCAGAAGCUUCACGGUUCUUCCCCCAGCCGUUUUCUGUCCUCGGCCGUCAUGCCAGGUU